UCAUAACCGCAUCAGGUCU
rnacentral:snRNA from 1 species